CAGGAAGACCCUGUACUCCUGUUAGCAGCUCUGAUUGGCUGUAACUGGGAUGUUGGGUGAUAUUGAUUGACAGCACUUAAUGGGCGGGACUACAGGAAAACAAAUUCUCCCAUUGGAGAAUAUUAACAAUGGCUCCUUUUGGCACUAAACAUCGGGUUUUGCGGGGAAGUGAUCAACGUGCCUUUUUAAAUUGAUAAACGGAACAGUUUAAUAGCCCUGCAGUACAGUAUGGUUUAGAAACUCUUUCGUAGCGCGCUAGAUGUCAAACAGGAAAUGACAUAGCCAGGUCUGCCAUGUUUACGCAGGCGACGGGCGUGUGUUUUGCGAGUUUCUUUAUCUCUGCAGAGUGAAAAUGCAAAGGACUUGACUUCUGUAAAGUUAUAACUCACCGGCAUUGGUAUAAUCGAAGUUAAUAUCUUAUGCAUGGCAAAGCUUAAGAACCUUAAUCGGUAAUUCAAAUUAUGACUCGUUUUAGCUGGCUACAUAUCGUUGCUAGCUAGCUAGCUUUCUCCACAACAAGGAGGCGGGCGGAAGUAGCUAAUGCAUGUUAGCUAGCUAGUAAGCCUCAGUUCCGUUUUUAGUAUAGUUUGGUGGACGUUGGUUAACCUAUAUUGUGACUGAGUGACAAUAAGAGCUAGCCGACUUUCGCCGUUACAAGCAAGCCAUGGCUGAAUCCCAGAAAGCGGACCAUUCAGAGCAUAAAGGUGAGCCAGACAAAGAGACAGAGCAGCCAUCUCAGGCUGGAACAUCAAUGGAUUCGGUGGACCCUGGAGCCUCACACCGCAAUACUGCCUCAGCAGAUGGAAACAAUGGGGAUGAUGCUACCAAUGCAGUCAGUGCAUGUUCCUCCUCAAUUAUAGAUGGGGCAGGGGAUGCUGGUAAUUCAGGACCUGUGAGGGAAACCGAUGCAGAGGAUUCACAGAUGGUGGAAGAAGCUGUAAAAACAGAUGCUUUGCUGACUGUGGUAGAAAUGGACAGUAAAGAGGAUUCCCAGACGGAAAGAGAAACAGCCAGUGCGGAUGUUUCCCAGACGGAAAGAGAAACAGCCAGUGCGGAUGUUUCCCAGACGGAAAGAGAAACAGCCAGUGCGGAUGUUUCCCAGACGGAAAGAGAAACAGCCAGUGCGGAUGUUUCCCAGACGGAAAGAGAAACAGCCCGUGCGGGUGCCUCACAGACGGAAAGAGAAACAGCCCGUGCGGGUGCCUCACAGACGGAAAGAGAAACAGCCCGUGCGGGUGCCUCACUGAAGGACACAGCCCGUGCGGGUGCCUCACUGAAGGACACAGCCCGUGCGGAUGCCUCACUGAAGGACACAGCCCGUGCGGAUGCCUCACUGAAGGACACAGCCCGUGCGGAUGCCUCACAGACGGACACAGCCCGUGCGGGUGCCUCACAGACGGACACAGCCCGUGCGGGUGCCUCACAGACGGACACAGCCCGUGCGGAUGCCUCACAGACGGACACAGCCCGUGCGGAACAGACGGACACAGCCCGUGCGGGUGCCUCACAGACGGACACAGCCCGUGCGGGUGCCUCACAGACGGACACAGCCCGUGCGGGUGCCUCACAGACGGACACAGCCCGUGCGGGUGCCUCACAGACGGACACAGCC
rnacentral:lncRNA from 1 species